GACAGAGGGUGCAAACGUUGUUCGGAUUUACUGGGCGUAAAGCGUGUGUAGGCGGCUUGGCAAGUUGGAUGUGAAAGCCCACGGCUCAACCAUGGAAGCGCAUCCAAAACUGCUUCGCUCGAGUCUCGGAGAGGAAGGUGGAAUGCUUGGUGUAGAGGUGAAAUUCGUAGAUAUCGAGAGGAACACCGGUGGCGAAGGCGGCCUUCUGGACAGUGACUGACGCUGAGACGCGAAAGCGUGGGGAGCAAACAGG
rnacentral:rRNA from 1 species